rnacentral:rRNA from 1 species
UACAGAGGGGGCAAGCGUUAUUCGGAAUUAUUGGGCGUAAAGGGCGCGUAGGCGGCCUGGCAAGUGGAAGGUGAAAUCCCUCGGCUUAACCGAGGAACGGCCCUCCAAACUGCUUGGCUUGAGUCCGGGAGAGGUGAGUGGAAUUCCCAGUGUAGCGGUGAAAUGCGUAGAUAUUGGGAGGAACACCAGUGGCGAAGGCGGCUCACUGGACCGGAACUGACGCUGAGGCGCGAAAGCGUGGGGAGCAAACAGG